rnacentral:rRNA from 1 species
GACGAACGCUGGCGGCGUGCUUAACACAUGCAAGUCGAGCGGUAAGGCCCUUUCGGGGGUACACGAGCGGCGAACGGGUGAGUAACACGUGGGUGACCUGCCCUUAGCUCUGGGAUAAGCCUGGGAAACUGGGUCUAAUACCGGAUAUGACUCCAUGACGCAUGUUGUGGGGUGGAAAGCCUUGUGCGGCUAGGGAUGGGCCCGCGGCCUAUCAGCUUGUUGGUGGGGUGAUGGCCUACCAAGGCGACGACGGGUAGCCGGCCUGAGAGGGCGACCGGCCACACUGGGACUGAGACACGGCCCAGACUCCUACGGGAGGCAGCAGUGGGGAAUCUUGCGCAAUGGGCGAAAGCCUGACGCAGCGACGCCGCGUGGGGAUGACGGCCU